CCAAAAAAGGGUACGAUUAUACUAGAGUUUUAUAGGAGAAGGAAGUAUUUAUGGAGGAGAGUUUAUAUUUCAUUAUACCUUAGAGACUGGUAAAGGCGAAAGCAACCUUCUAUCUAAUAACUGACGUUGAGGUACGAAGGCCUGGGUAGCAAACAGGAUUAGAUACCCUAGUAGUCCAGGCAGAGAAUUAUGAAUGCCAUAUGCUAGAUUAAUUUAGCAUAUAAAUGAAAGUGUAAGCAUUUCACCUUAAGAGUAAUGCGGCAACGCAGAAACUGAAAUCAUUAGGCCGUUUCUGAAAUCAGUAGUGAAGUAUGUUAUUUAAUUCGAUAUUCCACGAAAAACCUUACCACAAUUUGCAUAUUAUUUUUAAUCUUAAUUGCAUAAAAAUAUUACAAGCGUUGCACGGCUGUCUUCAGUUAAUGUCGUGAGAUUUUGGUUUGUUCCAUAAAAUUAACGUAAACCCUUGCUUUAUUUUUAAAUAGUAUUUUAUAAAGCAGUUCGCCAUUAUAUUGGUUGAUAUAUGGGACCAAGACAAGUCAUCAUGACCUUAAUAUUGUGGGCUAUAGACGUGCCACAUAAUCCUAUACAAAGAGAUGCAAAAGUGUGAAUUUUAGCUAAUCUUAAAAGUAGGAUAUAAUACGAAUUGUAGUCUGUAACUCGACUACAUGAAGAAGGAAUUACUAGUAAUCGUGAAUCACCAUGUCACGGUGAAUUUAAUCUCGGAUAGGCACUUACUACUCGUCGCGCGCUGAAAGAAGUAUGUGCAAUAAGUUUGGUUAACUAUUUAUUUUUAAUUAAGAUAAUACGUUCUUUAUAUUUAUUUAGUUAAUUUUCGUAUGUGUGACUUCGAUUGGUGUUAAGUCGAAAUACGGUUCGUGUAGUGGAAAUUGCACGGGGGUAAUUAAAGUA
rnacentral:ncRNA from 1 species